rnacentral:rRNA from 1 species
GACGAACGCUGGCGGCGUGCCUAAUACAUGCAAGUAGAACGCUGAAGAGAGGAGCUUGCUCUUCUUGGAUGAGUUGCGAACGGGUGAGUAACGCGUAGGUAACCUGCCUUGUAGCGGGGGAUAACUAUUGGAAACGAUAGCUAAUACCGCAUAACAAUGGAUGACACAUGUCAUUUAUUUGAAAGGGGCAAUUGCUCCACUACAAGAUGGACCUGCGUUGUAUUAGCUAGUAGGUGAGGUAACGGCUCACCUAGACGACGAUACAUAGCCGACCUGAGAGGGUGAUCGGCCACACUGGGACUGAGACACGGCCCAGACUCCUACGGGAGGCAGCAGUAGGGAAUCUUCGGCAAUGGGGGCAACCCUGACCGAGCAACGCCGCGUGAGUGAAGAAGGUUUUCGGAUCGUAAAGCUCUGUUGUAAGUCAAGAACGAGUGUGAGAGUGGAAAGUUCACACUGUGACGGUAGCUUACCAGAAAGGGACGGCUAACUACGUGCCAGCAGCCGCGGUAAUACGUAGGUCCCGAGCGUUGUCCGGAUUUAUUGGGCGUAAAGCGAGCGCAGGCGGUUUGAUAAGUCUGAAGUUAAAGGCUGUGGCUCAACCAUAGUUCGCUUUGGAAACUGUCAAACUUGAGUGCAGAAGGGGAGAGUGGAAUUCCAUGUGUAGCGGUGAAAUGCGUAGAUAUAUGGAGGAACACCGGUGGCGAAAGCGGCUCUCUGGUCUGUAACUGACGCUGAGGCUCGAAAGCGUGGGGAGCGAACAGGAUUAGAUACCCUGGUAGUCCACGCCGUAAACGAUGAGUGCUAGGUGUUGGAUCCUUUCCGGGAUUCAGUGCCGCAGCUAACGCAUUAAGCACUCCGCCUGGGGAGCACGACCGCAAGGUUGAAACUCAAAGGAAUUGACGGGGGCCCGCACAAGCGGUGGAGCAUGUGGUUUAAUUCGAAGCAACGCGAAGAACCUUACCAGGUCUUGACAUCCCGAUGCUAUUUCUAGAGAUAGAAAGUUACUUCGGUACAUCGGUGACAGGUGGUGCAUGGUUGUCGUCAGCUCGUGUCGUGAGAUGUUGGGUUAAGUCCCGCAACGAGCGCAACCCCUAUUGUUAGUUGCCAUCAUUCAGUUGGGCACUCUAGCGAGACUGCCGGUAAUAAACCGGAGGAAGGUGGGGAUGACGUCAAAUCAUCAUGCCCCUUAUGACCUGGGCUACACACGUGCUACAAUGGUUGGUACAACGAGUUGCGAGUCGGUGACGGCAAGCUAAUCUCUUAAAGCCAAUCUCAGUUCGGAUUGUAGGCUGCAACUCGCCUACAUGAAGUCGGAAUCGCUAGUAAUCGCGGAUCAGCACGCCGCGGUGAAUACGUUCCCGGGCCU